rnacentral:rRNA from 1 species
AGAGGUGCGAGCGUUAAUCGGAUUUACUGGGGCGUAAAGCGUGCGUAGGCGGCUAAUUGAGUCGGAUGUGAAAUCCCCCGAGCUUAACUUGGGGAAUUGCAUUCGAUACUGGUUAGCUAGAGUGUGGGAGAGGAUGGUAGAAUUCCAGGUGUAGCGGUGAAAUGCGUAGAGAUCUGGAGGAAUACCGAUGGCGAAGGCAGCCAUCUGGCCUAACACUGACGCUGAGGUACGAAAGCAUGGGGAGCAAACAGGAUUAGAUACCCUGGUAGUCCAUGCCGUAAACGAUGUCUACUAGCCGUUGGUCUCUUUGAGGGAUUAGUGGCGCAGCUAACGCGAUAAGUAGACCGCCUGGGGAGUACGGUCGCAAGACUA